UUCCCCUUUUCUUUUUUUUUUCCCACCGAAGCUGAGCGGGCGCUGCUAGCGGAGGCGCCAUAUUGGAAGGGACAAAACUCCGGCGACAGCGAGUGACACAAAUAAACCCCUGGAUCCCCUCGUCCCCCAAGCGCUAAAGGCCGCGAUGUUGUACCUAGAGGACUAUCUAGAAAUGAUUGAGCAGCUUCCAAUGGAUCUGCGGGACCGCUUCACGGAGAUGCGCGAGAUGGACCUGCAGGUGCAGAAUGCAAUGGAUCAACUAGAGCAAAGAGUCAGUGAAUUCUUUAUGAAUGCAAAGAAAAAUAAACCAGAGUGGAGAGAAGAACAAAUGGCAUCCAUCAAAAAAGAUUACUAUAAAGCUUUGGAAGAUGCAGAUGAGAAGGUACAGUUGGCGAACCAGAUAUAUGAUUUGGUAGAUCGACACUUGAGAAAGCUGGAUCAGGAACUCGCUAAGUUUAAAAUGGAGCUGGAAGCUGAUAAUGCUGGAAUUACAGAAAUAUUAGAGAGGCGAUCUUUGGAAUUAGAUACUCCUUCCCAGCCAGUGAACAAUCACCAUGCUCAUUCACAUACUCCAGUGGAAAAAAGGAAGUAUAAUCCUACUUCUCACCAUACGACAGCAGACCAUAUUCCUGAAAAGAAGUUUAAAUCUGAAGCUCUUCUAUCUACCCUAACAUCCGAUGCCUCUAAGGAAAAUACACUAGGUUGUCGAAAUAAUAAUUCUACGGCCUCAUCCAACAAUGCUUACAAUGUGAAUUCCUCCCAACCUCUGGCAUCCUAUAAUAUUGGCUCAUUAUCUUCGGGAACUGGUGCAGGGGCAAUUACCAUGGCAGCUGCUCAGGCAGUUCAAGCUACAGCUCAGAUGAAAGAGGGCCGAAGGACAUCAAGUUUAAAAGCCAGUUAUGAAGCAUUUAAAAAUAAUGACUUUCAGCUGGGAAAAGAAUUUUCAAUGCCCAGGGAAACAGCUGGCUUUUCGUCAUCUUCAGCGCUCAUGACUACAUUGACACAGAAUGCCAGUUCAUCAGCCGCAGACUCACGGAGUGGGAGAAAGAGCAAAAACAACAACAAGUCUUCAAGCCAGCAGUCCUCCUCUUCCUCCUCCUCCUCUUCCUUGUCAUCGUGUUCUUCAUCAUCAACUGUUGUACAAGAAAUCUCUCAACAAACAACAGUCGUACCAGAAUCAGAUUCAAAUAGUCAGGUUGAUUGGACUUAUGACCCAAAUGAACCACGAUAUUGCAUCUGUAAUCAGGUAUCCUAUGGUGAGAUGGUGGGCUGUGAUAACCAAGAUUGCCCUAUAGAAUGGUUCCAUUACGGAUGCGUUGGGUUGACAGAAGCACCAAAAGGGAAAUGGUACUGUCCGCAGUGUACUGCUGCCAUGAAGAGAAGAGGCAGUCGGCACAAAUAAAGACGGUCGUUUCAUUUGAGAAAGAGUAAGACUUCAACUAAACAUUUUAUAUAGGACUUUACAAAGGAAGAAAAGAGAAAGAAGAUACCGUGCAUUUCCAGGCAACCACUUAAAAGGAUUUACAUAGGCAAUCCUAUCAUCUCUCUGGCUUUUCCUUCAGUUGGAAGGACAUGAAAGAAGUCUAAUUACAGCAGGUAAAAUGAAAAUAAUGGUUAUAGAUAUUUGACUUAAGGCAGUGUGGCCAAUUUAAGUAAAGUAACCCCCUGAAUUGGAGCUUAAAAUUCAAUUCUGUUUUUUAUUUUACCAUAUACUAGUAUGACAGUUAAUUCAAAUUUUUAAUCACUCUGGGCCUUAUUAAACCAGGGUGAUGCUAGCUGUAGGAAGUCUCUAAAGCACUUCUAUGGUUUUAUUCUAUAGGUGCUAUUUAAAUUAUAAAUUUUGCAUACUAUUGAGUCUGAUCAGUAGAAAAAUCCUUAAAGCUUUUAAAAUAUUUAUUAUGUCAUAUUUUUUAUAUCAAAACGUACUGGGUACAUCAGAUUUUUACUUUAAUGAAAACUACUUAUGAGCCUCUUAGAACUUAUUCAGAAAACUGUGACGUCUAUGCAAUGCUACCCAAAGGGUUUGGGGUAGAUCGGGGAUUUCAAAGGUCUCUUCCAGCUUCCCAGUGCCACAGCUCUGAGCUGCUGCAGUCUGUUUUAUAACGGGUCAGCCCAUAAAGCUAAGUUAGGCUCAUUGGUGGGUUACCGUGAUUUCAUAGUAUCACUAGUAUCACGAUUUGGUGGUACUCAAUAUUUCAUGAAAAUUUUAUAAAUCUUUAAGAAAUAAUAUAUAACGUAGUAUUCAACUAGCUUAUCAGCAUGUUGCCUGGAGAUGCUUAGUGUUAUUGUUUAAUGUUCUAAUUAUAUGUAAUGAUUUUUCCAAACUUAUUUGUAUUAUAGGAAUUGGUCCAAGGAUAAAGCCUUAUAUUCAGCCUUAUUUUAAGAGAAAGUUCCUUGUCAGAGUCAGGAACAUCCCUAUGUCCAGCUGCUACAGCCCUUUUCAGUAUGUGAAUUCCACUGCUUCCAAAUCACUCCGAAACAUUUUGACAAAUCUUCAGCCCGAACAUUGAAUAUUUUAUGAAGUGUGUAUAAAGAGUAAACCAAAACUUUGUGCAGUCAUUUAAUAAUGGGUGGAACCUGUUAAUAUCUCAGAUAGCCAGACAUGGAACUACCUCAUCAAAAAUAAUGUGGCCAACUAUUAGUAUUUGUUGUGACAUUUACAAGGGGUAUAAUGAGCAUUUUUGGUAUUAUAAAAUACACAUUCAAAAUCUUUGUUGUGUACAAAAUUCAUGUAACAAUUGGUGGCCUAAAAAAAUUCAAUUGUGGGUUCACAAUUUAUAGGUGGUGAAAAUUGAGGCCUUACUGCUGUGGAGUGUAUAUUAAAAUGUUCAUGGUAACACACUUGAAGCAAUAAAUGGCUUAAUUAAAUGCCUAAAUGAA